GACCUGGAAAGCUGCUAGUUUUGAAUGGGGCCCAGAACAGGAUAAGGCAGAGGCAACAGGUCCAGGCUGCUGUGCAAGCUACUCUGCCAUUUGGGCCAUAUGACCCAGCAGAUCCAAUGGUGCUGGAGGGGUCAGUGGCAGAUAAGGAUGCUGUUUGAAGCCUUUCAUUGGUCCCCAUAGAUAAAUUGCAGCAAAGGCCCUUAGGAUUUUGGGAGCAAGGCCUUGCCAUCAUCCACAAAUAAUGACCCUUCUUUUGAGAGGCAGUCUUGGCCUGCUACUAGGCCUUAGUAGAAACUGAACAUUUGACCAUGGGCCACCAAGUAACUAUGCAACCUGAGCUGACCAUCAUUAACUAGGUGUUAACUGACCCACCAAGCCAUAACGUUGGGCAUACACAGCAGCCCUCUAUCAUCAAAUGGAAGUGAUAUACACAUAACUGGGCCCAAGCAGGUUCUGAAGCACAAGUAAGUUACACAAAGUGACCCAAAUGCCCCUGGUUCCAACUACACUGCCUCAGCCUGCACCAAUGGCCCCAUGGGGAGUAUCCUAUGAUCAAUUGAUAGAGGUCCCAGUUUACAGGUGGUUCUGCAUAAUAUGCAGGCACCAUCCAAAAGUGGACAGUUUCAGCAAUACCAUCCCUUUGUGGGACAUCUUUAGAGGAUAGCGGUGAAGAGAAAUCUCAGUGUGUAGAACUUUGGACAGUGCACCACGUUGUACACUUUGCUUGGAUGGAGAAAUGGCCAGAUGUGGAAUUAUAUACCAAUUCAUGAACUGUAACCAAUGGUUUGGCCAGAUGGUCAGAGAAUUGAAAGAAACAUAAUUGGAAAAUUGGUGACAAAGAAAUUUGGGGAAGAGAUAUGUGGAUGGACCUGAGUGGGAAAAAGAUGUGAAGAUGAUUAUGUCCUUUGCCAAUGCUCACCAAAGUGUGAUCUCAGCAGAGGAGGACUAAUAAUCAAGGAGAUGGGAUGACCCAUUCUGUGGAUACUAGUCACCCUCUUUCCCCAGCUACCCCUACCAUCAUCCAAUGGACUCAAGAAUAAAUUGCCCAGCGUGGCAGAGAUGGAAGUCAUGUAUGAGUUCAGCAACAUAGACCUCCACUUAGCAAAGCUGACCUGGCUACAGUCACCUCUGAGGGCUCAAUCUGCCAGCAGCCAAGACCCACACUGAGCCCUUGAUACAGUAUCAUUGGCUUCGGUGGAUCAGCCAGCUACCUUGUGGCAGGUUGAUUACUCCAAUCUCUGGAAACACCCUGACAUACCCAGAAAUAAUGCUUUACCACUUCUCCAGGUAUUCCUCAAUCCAGUCAACAUGACACCUAAAAUUAAUGAUGACAAGUCCACCUCUUGUCUGUACUUAAUCUACACACCUACACACCUCUCUGUAAACUGAACUUAAUCUCCAAGUAAAGACAAUAACAAGGUAAUAGACCCACCUAACCUGAUACAAUUAUCCUGCAUACAAUAAAAAACUAAUCCCUUACCCAGAAGAUGGGGUAAAGUCCUUGAAUGAUAUUUACUUGUCUCCUGAUAUUUCAUAACUUAAAUACUAUGAUGUAAAAUUAACAAUACUUAAAUACUGAUAUAAAGUGAAUAUAUCUUUUUUUUUUUUGAGACAGAGUCUUGCUGUGUUGCCCAGGCCAGAGUGCAAUGGCAUGAUCUCAGCUAACUGCAACCUCCACUUCCUGAGUUCAAGUGAUUCUCGUGCCUCAGCCUCCUGAGAAGCUGAGAUUACAGGUACGUGCUACCACGCUAAUUUUUUGUAUUUUUAGUAGAGAUGGGGUUCCAUCACUUUGGCCAGGCUGGUCUCCAACUCCUGGCCUCAAGUGAUCUGCCCACCUCAGCCUCCCGAAGUGCUGGAAUAACAGGCGUGAGCCACUGUGCCAGGUCCCUAAAGUCAAUAUAUCUUAUGUUAAAUGAUUAAGAGAGGAAUGAAAACAAAGAUAUUUGUUUAAUAUAUGUGUGUAUACACACACACGCACACACACACACACACACACAAAUGUAUUCUGAACAAAAUACGGAGAAAAUACUGAUGACAAUUACAGUCCUCAUUUCUGUAACUGGUCACACAGUCAUAACUGGUAUUUAUAACUACUUUCUUCCAAUAUCCAUUCUGUAUUCUCUUUGCCCUCAGCAAGCACCUCAGCUAGUCACG
rnacentral:lncRNA from 1 species